rnacentral:rRNA from 1 species
GUCGAAUGACUUGGAAAAGUCAGUCAAAGAGGGUAAAAACCCCGUAGAUGAAAUUUGGAAGGCACCUAGGAGGAUCCUGAGUACGGCGGAACACGAGGAAUUCCGUCGGAAUCCGGGAGGACCAUCUCCCAAGGCUAAAUACUCCCUAGUGACCGAUAGUGAACCAGUACCGUGAGGGAAAGGUGAAAAGCACCCCGGAAGGGGAGUGAAAUAGAACCUGAAACCGUGUGCCUACAACAAGUCAAAGCCCGUUAAUGGGUGAUGGCGUGCCUUUUGUAGAAUGAACCGGCGAGUUACGAUUGCAUGCGAGGUUAAGUUGAAGAGACGGAGCCGCAGCGAAAGCGAGUCUGAAUAGGGCGUUUGAGUAUGUAGUCGUAGACCCGAAACCAUGUGAUCUACCCAUGUCCAGGUUGAAGGUGCGGUAAAACGCACUGGAGGACCGAACCCACGUACGUUGAAAAGUGCGGGGAUGAGGUGUGGGUAGCGGAGAAAUUCCAAACGAACUUGGAGAUAGCUGGUUCUCUCCGAAAUAGCUUUAGGGCUAGCCUCGGAAUUGAGAAUGAUGGAGGUAGAGCACUGUUUGGACUAGGGGCCCAUCUCGGGUUACCGAAUUCAGAUAAACUCCGAAUGCCAUUCAUUCAUAUCCGGGAGUCAGACUGUGAGUGAUAAGAUCCAUAGUCGAAAGGGAAACAGCCCAGACCACCAGCUAAGGUCCCAAAAUAUAUGUUAAGUGGAAAAGGAUGUGGGGUUGCACAGACAACUAGGAUGUUGGCUUAGAAGCAGCCACCAUUUAAAGAGUGCGUAAUAGCUCACUAGUCGAGUGACCCUGCGCCGAAAAUGUACCGGGGCUAAACAUAUUACCGAAGCUGUGGAGUACACCUUUAGGUGUAUUGGUAGGAGAGCGUUCUAAGGGCGUUGAAGGCAGAUCGUGAGGACUGCU